AGAGUUUGAUCAUGGCUCAGAUUGAACGCUGGCGGCAGGCCUAACACAUGCAAGUCGAACGGAAACAUGUCUAGCUUGCUAGAUGAUGUCGAGUGGCGGACGGGUGAGUAAUGCUUGGGAACUUGCCUUUGCGAGGGGGAUAACAGUUGGAAACGACUGCUAAUACCGCAUAAUGUCUUCGGACCAAACGGGGCUUAGGCUCCGGCGCAAAGAGAGGCCCAAGUGAGAUUAGCUAGUUGGUGAGGUAAAGGCUCACCAAGGCAACGAUCUCUAGCUGUUCUGAGAGGAAGAUCAGCCACACUGGGACUGAGACACGGCCCAGACUCCUACGGGAGGCAGCAGUGGGGAAUAUUGCACAAUGGGGGAAACCCUGAUGCAGCCAUGCCGCGUGUGUGAAGAAGGCCUUCGGGUUGUAAAGCACUUUCAGUUGUGAGGAAAAGUUAGUAGUUAAUACCUGCUAGCCGUGACGUUAACAACAGAAGAAGCACCGGCUAACUCCGUGCCAGCAGCCGCGGUAAUACGGAGGGUGCGAGCGUUAAUCGGAAUUACUGGGCGUAAAGCGCACGCAGGCGGUUUGUUAAGCUAGAUGUGAAAGCCCUGGGCUCAACCUGGGAAUUGCAUUUAGAACUGGCAGGCUAGAGUUUUGGAGAGGGGAGUGGAAUUCCAGGUGUAGCGGUGAAAUGCGUAGAUAUCUGGAGGAACAUCAGUGGCGAAGGCGACUCCCUGGUCAGUAACUGACGCUCAUGUGCGAAAGUGUGGGUAGCGAACAGGAUUAGAUACCCUGGUAGUCCACACCGUAAACGCUGUCUACUAGCUGUUUGUGGAUUUAAUCCGUGAGUAGCGAAGCUAACGCGAUAAGUAGACCGCCUGGGGAGUACGGCCGCAAGGUUAAAAC
rnacentral:rRNA from 1 species